GUUAAAACACCUGCUCUCGUACGAUCUCCGACGUUAAGCAAAACCGAGACUGAUCGGUAUUUAGGUGAGUGACGGCUUGAGAAUGCCAGGGGCUAC